rnacentral:rRNA from 1 species
GAUGAACGCUGGCGGCGUGCCUAAUACAUGCAAGUCGAGCGAACAGACGAGGAGCUUGCUCCUCUGACGUUAGCGGCGGACGGGUGAGUAACACGUGGAUAACCUACCUAUAAGACUGGGAUAACUUCGGGAAACCGGAGCUAAUACCGGAUAAUAUAUUGAACCGCAUGGUUCAAUAGUGAAAGACGGUUUUGCUGUCACUUAUAGAUGGAUCCGCGCCGCAUUAGCCAGUUGGUAAGGUAACGGCUUACCAAGGCAACGAUGCGUAGCCGACCUGAGAGGGUGAUCGGCCACACUGGAACUAAGACACGGUCCAGACUCCUACGGGAGGCAGCAGUAGGGAAUCUUCCGCAAUGGGCGAAAGCCUGACGGAGCAACGCCGCGUGAGUGAUGAAGGUCUUCGGAUCGUAAAACUCUGUUAUUAGGGAAGAACAAAUGUGUAAGUAACUAUGCACGUCUUGACGGUACCUAAUCAGAAAGCCACGGCUAACUACGUG